GAAAAAGAAAAGGAAAGGCAAAAUGGAGGGGGAGCAGCUUCUUGUGUUUGUCGCCGGUAGCGGCCGGCUAAGAGCAGGAGGAGGAGCUAACGGAGGCCGCCGAGGAAGACGCUGGCCUCGGAGCGGGAGGAGCUAACGGAGGCCGCCGAGGAAGACGCUGGCCUCGGAGCGGACGGGCAUCCGGCGGCUGCGAGCUUUGCGGCCGGCAUAUCCAGCGAGGGAGGCGAUUGCGACGAAUCGGCCGGGAGGCGCCGGAUCUGGUGGCUUCGUCACCGCAGAUGGCCGGCCGAGCUCAGGACGACUCGGGCGCCAUGUCGAGAGACGUGGUCGACAGCGAGAAGCGGGCCUGACUCGCGAGCAUGACGCCAUCCCACCAUGCUGCAACACAAUCAACACCGGUCCAAAGAAACAGAGAAGAUACAUGCCUCCAUGAGGCCUGAGCAAGAUACAAUGACAUUCCGAUACAAUGACAUUCCUUCACAGCUUUCCAAUUAAAAUAUCUCCAGAUUGUUGCUUCCUACAUACUAAACAUAAGAAUGCAAUGAUAGUAUGAAGAAUAAAAUAUUAAGUCAAUUUUUGAUCAA